rnacentral:misc_RNA from 1 species
AACUUUUAGCAACGGAUCACUUGGCUCUCGCAUCGAUGAAGAACGCAGCGAAAUGCGAUAAGUAAUGUGAAUUGCAGCAUUCAGUGAAUCAUCGAAUCUUUGAACGCACCUUGCGCUCCUUGGUAUUCCGAGGAGCAUGCCUGUUUGAGUGUCAUUAAUAUAUAUAUCAAACUUCUUCUGUUGAGUGGGUUGGAUGUGGGGGUUUUUGCUGGGCCUCUUAAAGGGGCUCGGCUCCUCUGAAAUGCCUUAGCAAAACCAACCCUUUUCAUUGGUGUGAUACCUAGCUACGCUAUUGAAUGCAAGGGGCAGUUAAGCUGUCUAGUAGUCCUUUGGACAAUUCAUCAUUAAUGUGACCUCAAAUCAGGUAGGACUACCCGCUGAACUUAAGCAUAUCAAUAAGCGGAGGC